CCUAGAGUUGCGGGCUUUGCCUGCUAUCUCUUACCCAUGUCUUUAAGUACCUUUGUUUCCUCGGCGGGUUCGCCCGCCGUUAGGACAAUUCAAAACCUUUUGCAGUUGCAAUCAGCGUCUGAAAAACUUUAAUAGUUA
rnacentral:misc_RNA from 1 species